UCCUAAGUCCCAGUGCCAGCUUCAAAGGCCU
rnacentral:piRNA from 1 species